ACCAUGGGAAAGUCCGUGAGCUCACUGUCCGUUGCCUCUCUCCCCUUCCUUGGAAAGUAAAGAAGUCCAGAGAUGUCUCCAGAAGGAGCCUGUAUGUGUAUGAAAUACCUACAAAUUCAAAGCAGAAAAUCACCCAGUCCUCAGCUCAGCAAGAGGUUACCCUGGCUCCCCCAAUCCUUCGUUCAGGGUCUCAGGGGAGGAAGAAGCACCACAACUCUGUGCUCCUUGGAGGGACCCAGAGGAGUGGCUAAGGAGCUGGUGACAGGAAACCUCACACCAGAACCUAUUGGAUGGACUCAGAUGAGCCUGAUCACGUCCAGAUUCCUCCCGGAAGAAUCAACUAGGAACUUGGGCAAGCAGGAGGUGGGACUGGAGAGGUCCUUGGAGGAUGAGUGUAGGUCAGCUGGACAAAGGCAUGGAGGGCAGACACUGAGACACAGGCCUGCGGUACACAGGGUGGGCCAGAGCAGGUGGGCCGGCCUAGCAGGGAGAUUAUAGGCAUGUGGUGAUGAGUACCAAAUAUUAGGCUAAGGAAUAGAUUUGUUCUAAGAGAAGGUCUGGGCACAGUGAGACUUGGGUUUGGAAGGACGGCUGGUGAAUGUGGAGGAUGACCUUGGAUGGGAGACUGGAAUCAUGGGAGAGUACGGAGGCUGUGCAAGUGUCCAGAGGACUGAGGAGAGGGCUCGGCAUUAAGCGUUGGGGACCUGGGAAGGGGCACACUUCCUGAGCUCUUGGCUGAGCCUGUUGUGUCUGGGGGACGCCAGGACACAAGAAGCACAGGAAGUGUGGACUGGAACAGAGAUCUAGGGGUUACCAUCUGCAGUUCAAGCCCUUCCUGUUGCAGGAGGGAAACCUGAGAUUUGACAAGGAAAGGUGACAUGUCAAGGUCACCUAGAUGGUCAUCAGGAGAGCAAGCCUGGAACCCAGCCAAAGGCACUAGCUCGUCACUUAGUAUUCGACACCAAGGCUGAAGGACCAGUGUCUGAGGAUUGAGUCCUCACCUCCACCUCUGAGACAGGGCCGUGGUUAGGAUUUGGACCCUGGAGCUAGAUGGCUAAGUUCAGAUCCUGCUGUGUGGCUUUACCAGCUUUGUAACUUUGAGCAAGUGUCUUAGCCUCUUUGGGGCUCAGCUUCCUUGUCUGUUAAUUGGGGAUUAAAAUAGGUUGUUAGGAAUAUUAACUCAGUCAGUGUAAGUAAAGUACUUAGAAAAGUACCCAACACAUAGUGAAGGUGAGUUGUAAUUAUCAGAAACACUUUAUAGUCAAGAAAACUAAGACUUAGGAAGAUGAAGUGUCCAAUGCCACAUAGCUAGCUAGCUGUUGUCAAAGCUUAGGCCUAAGCUGUUCCAAAGCUAGCACUAGAUUUUUGUGCCAAACUGCCUUCCCUUGCAGGAUAUUUCUAGAAGAUGGUUGAUAUCUUUAACUCAAGAGACUGAAGUCUCUAUCUGAAAGACCAUCUAGCCCUCUAACAUCUCAACCUGGGCCUAGCCUGAUUCUAACAUCACCACUGAGCCUAUUUGCUGAAAAGAUCUUCCCCUUGCCGUUGCCAGGGUGAGGAUGCUGUGGUUGGGAGACCCAAGGUCCAGGCCAAUCUACCCCGCUCUCAGGGACACCUGUGUUUGACCUAGAGGACCAAAAGGGGGCUGGCAUCUUAAUUAGGCCAGCACCACUCAGACAGUAAGAGAACUUUAGGCACGAGGGCCAGGACAGAGGGCGGGAGUGGAUCUGGGGAGAAUGGAUGAAGAAAAGGGACAUGUGUGUUGGGGGUAUAAAGAGAGAAAGGACUCAGAAUAAAUGCAAGCUGACAAUGUUCUGAGUAAGCAGUACUGAUGGAAACAAGGUGGCUGUCCCAGCCUUCCUGGGAGAGCUAGGGCAGUAGCAAAUUGGAGUGCCCUGCCCGGCCCAGACACGUCCCUGAUGUCAGACACAUCCUCCUGUCCAUGCAAUUCCAUCAGACCCACAGCAAGGACCAGCAUGAUGAGCAGCAGUAGCAGCUUGCUCUGCUUCCUGCCUUCCAUCCACAGGCUCACGCUGCCACCAGGGAGGAAGUGACUCAUCUUCCUAGAUGAAGCAGGUGGCAUGCUUCCCAGCAGCUGUCAGAAAUGAAUCCUGGGCAGCAGCGGGUGUGGGUUUCUAGAGGUCACCUGCUUGCUUUCCAGAGUACUUUCCUCAAGAGAAGAAAGCAAUCGCAGUAUUGGGUGAAUCCCUACCACCCACCCACAGGCACCCUGCAAUGCCAAACUGCUCACUAGCCCAGUCUCCAGAUGAGAAGACAGAGGUGUGAAGAACUGAGUGCAUAUGUACCUGGAGCCUUCGUUUGGAGAGACGGAAAAGGCUUGGAGAUGGACCGCAGUGAUACCUGCACAACUCUGAAUGGACUCAGUGCCGCUGAACUGUACAUUUAAAGCAGGUAAGAUGGCACAUUUUAUGAUUAUGUGUAUUUUACCACAAGAGAAGAAUAUCUCAGACUAGAACUUAAGUAACACAGCUACCAAAUGGAGAAGCCAAGGACCACACCUGACUGGUUCUGUCUGAGCCUGGAUCUUAAUCACCCUCCCAUAUUGUCUGCCUUGCAAGUGAGGAUGGCAACCUGGCAGAAAAUGCAUAUGGACAGAGGGACAAGCUGAGAAAGAUGGUUUAUGGGAGAGGGGAAGAAGACCAGGGUUUGAGCAGGAGUAGCAUGGACAGAUGUGCAGGUUAGGAAGCCCUCUCUGGCCUCCAGGAAGAUGGACGAGAGGCUGGGUUGGAGGUGGGCAUGAGUGUGGACAGGUGUGCAGGCGAUGAGG
rnacentral:lncRNA from 1 species